rnacentral:rRNA from 1 species
UACGUAGGGUGCGAGCGUUGUCCGGAAUUAUUGGGCGUAAAGAGCUCGUAGGCGGUGUGUCACGUCGGCCGUGAAAACCUGCAGCUUAACUGUGGGCGUGCGGUCGAUACGGGCAUCACUGGAGUUCGGCAGGGGAGACUGGAAUUCCAGGUGUAGCGGUGAAAUUCGUAGAUAUCGGGAGGAACACCGGUGGCGAAGGCGGCGAUCUGGGUCGAUACUGACGCUGAGGUGCGAAAGCGUGGGGAGCAAACAGG